rnacentral:rRNA from 1 species
UACGUAGGGGGCAAGCGUUGUCCGGAAUCAUUGGGCGUAAAGCGCGUGUAGGCGGCCAGGUAGGUCGGUUGUGAAAACUGGAGGCUCAACCUUCAGAGGUCGACCGAAACCAUCUGGCUAGAGUCCGGGAGAGGAGAGUGGAAUUCCUGGUGUAGCGGUGAAAUGCGCAGAUAUCAGGAAGAACACCCGUGGCGAAAGCGGCUCUCUGGAACGGUACUGACGCUGAGACGCGAAAGCGUGGGGAGCGAACAGG